UACGUAGGGGGGCUAGCGUUGUCCGGAAUCAUUGGGCGUAAAGCGCGCGUAGGCGGUCCGGUAAGUCCGCUGUGAAAGUCGGGGGUCAACCUCGGAUGCCGGUGGAUACUGUCGGGCUUGAGUACGGAAGAGGCGAGUGGAAUUCCCUGUGUAGCGGUGAAAUGCGUAGAGAUGGGGAGAACACUCGUGGCGAAGGCGGCCAGCUAGACCAGUUCUGACACUGAGGCGCGACAGCGUGGGAGCAAACAGGA
rnacentral:rRNA from 1 species